rnacentral:tRNA from 1 species
GGGCUUGUAGUUAAGCGGUAUAACAUGGCAUUCGCAUUGCCAAGACAGGGGUUCGACUCCCCUCAAGUCCA